rnacentral:rRNA from 1 species
UACAGAGGGGGCAAGCGUUGUUCGGAAUUACUGGGCGUAAAGGGCGCGUAGGCGCCUUCUAAGUCGAACGUGAAAUCCCCGGGCUCAACCCGGGAACUGCGUCCGAUACUGGAAGGCUUGAAUCCGGGAGAGGGAUGCGGAAUUCCAGGUGUAGCGGUGAAAUGCGUAGAUAUCUGGAGGAACACCGGUGGCGAAGGCGGCGAUCCCUGGACCGGCAUUGACGCUGACGGCGCGAAAGCCAGGGGAGCAA